GUGUGACAUGGAUUUCACGGAGAAUUAGUGAGAAAUCUGUGUCCACUCAAGCACAUUUUAUGUUGUCUGAAUGUGAGGAUUCUCCUUUGGGCUGUUUAUGGGCAGGGUGGGAGAGAGAUCGCAGAGGUGCAGUCAUGGGCUUCCAGAGGCUUUUUACAAUUCUGUAGUGGCCAUGCUGGGAAGACGCCCUGAGAAGACACUGCGACUGUCCAUGUGACAGCUGCGGGAGUGAAAGCCAUUGGAAAUUCCUCCAAACCCAUUGAGCCAAGGCUGCCACUGCCAUGUCCCAUCCAGGUGAGGCUUUGGCCAGAGCUGGCUAUGGACUGGUUUGCAUUUCCCUGCUUUUGAUUUCCCUGACAGUCUACGGUGGAAAUGCCCAUGGGGAGUGAGGAGAUGGAAGAGAACACAAAGGCAGACAGGAAAGGCUGAGAAGGUUCUCCCAUUGGACACAUAGUCCUCAGAUGCAUGAACUGUCCCUUGAGAGAGAGGAGUGGGACUGUAGGUCUAAAUUCACAUCACUGUAAAUUCCAUUUGUAUCUUCACGGGAUGUGACGAGGACCAUAAUGUCAACGCUCUUGAGACGUCUGCCCACAGGUGCCCUCGUGCUGAAGCUUUCCCUCCCAGCUCCCAUUUCAGGAAUGAAGUGUUUCUUCCCCUAGCUGCAGCAGAUGUCACCAGUGGACAGUCUUCAGUGGACAGCUCUCUUCUGGAAAUACCCUAGCUGAAGGGAGCCAGUCUAAGCUGCACAGCUCUUCCUGAUGCAGACUAUACACCAGCCAUGAUGCCGAAGUCAACUUGCAAGUGGAGAGAGAAGGAAUUCAGACCAGAAAUGGACUAGGGUUCACAGCUGAAAAAUACCAGUAGUGGCCAUGAGGUAGGUUGUGUGAGCCACAGACCUGAGAGACACCGUGGGCAGCAGCAGGAGAGGCGGUGGUGACAGAGGCCAGCACCCCAGGCCCCUGGUCUGCAAACACCUCCAGUGAAGCCAGGGCAGAGUGGUGACCAGGCGCCAUCCUCCUCCACUGUCAUGACAGCAGGUGAGACCUGGAAUGUGUGUGCAACCCCACAGGGAGCCAGGAUCAGGAACACUUGAAUUCAUUAAAGUAAAGUAACCCCAAACUGACAGAGAAGCCUUGAACUGAAAGAGAAAUUACUUAAUUGCCUGAGAAAUAGCUAAAUUUAUUUUUGCACACCUGAGGCUUGUGAACAAUCUGAACUUCAUACCUGCUCCACAGUGUUUGCAGUUUAAUCACUUCUUUCCUGCUUUUCAUUACAACGGCAGGGGGAACAGAAUAGGGUGCCAGGACAAGGCCCACAGACACAGCUCAGUAAGCUCUCCAGCUCUCCAACAAAAUCCUACCUGCGAGGGUGUGGCAGCCAUGGAAAUGCCUUGCUCAAAUCUCUCUGCAAGAGAAGCUUCUGUGGAGAACACUGCUGACUACAGCCUCCAGCUGCUAAGCCUUGGAUCCAUCAUGGCGGCCAAGCCAGGUCCCACCUCCCCAGGCUACCCAGAGAGGGUGCCAAAGCCAGGACUCUGGAGGAUUCCUCUUCCUGGCAGCUUUGGCCCAGGGACUCCCAGUGGCCCAACUGGGACUCUCAGGGCUUCUGUGACAUCUGAGGCUCCUCCUGACCAUCCUUCUUCCCUCUCUGCCCUCACAGGGGUCAGACCCGCACUUCAGUCUGAGGGUCCUCCCUGCCUUCCUAUGCUCCCUCCCCUUUGUCACCAAAUGUCUCCUCCAAUAAACCUCUGGCAUGUCUACUCUAGUCCUAGCAUCUGCUUUUCAGAGCACCUAAACUGACAAGGGAGAAGGAAGAUGUUCCCUGGAAAGCACUCAGCAUAAAAAAAACAAGAGAUGGCCUGAGGAUCUUGACUCGGGAAUAGGCUUUGCUAGAGAGAGGCAGGGAUCAGAGCGUAGUAUGCCAUCUUGUGUUUGAAGCCAGCGUUGGCCCAGCUCCCUGGACUCCUGUUUGGGUUCUGAAGUCAGAGGAUGUGACAAAAACGUUCAUCAAACUUUGCGACAUGCUAGGGGGUGCCUCUCCACCAGAGUGUAACCCAAAGCGGGGGCAUUCUCUCCAAUAUGGACACGAGUCCAGCUUGGAAUCCCUAAGAUCUCCCGGUUGAUCUCCCAGUGUUCCUGGUGGGGGCUCCCUCCCAGGCCUGCAGCAGCCUUGGCAGGCAGAGCAGCUACCUGCAGGAGGGACCUGUGUGGAACAGCACUGGAGUGGCACCUGUGACAUCAGAACCAACUGACUGCUUGCUUGUUUGGUGGUUGCUGUUUUAUUUUCUCUAAUGACACCCCUCCAGCUUCAAAAUACCAUGGUUUUAUUCCACGUAGGUCUUGCCUCCCUGACCAGACUGUAAGCUCCCUAUGUCAGGGAUUAUAUUUUCUGUGUUUUCAUCCAUUUCUAGGGACAUCAUAGAAAUCCAGGAUAUACUGGUUGGCCAUUGGUAGUUACAUAAUUGUCCAAAUUUUAUUUUUUAUUUUUAUUUAUUUUUUUGAGAUGGAGUCUCACUCUGUCACCCAGGCUAGAGUGCAGUGGCAUGAUCUUGCUCAUUGCAACCUCCACUGAGUUCAAGCGAUUCUCCUGCCUCAGCCUCCCAAGUAGCUGGGUGAACGUCACCACAUCCCACUCAUUUUUGUAUUUUUAGUAGAGACGGUGUUUCACCAUGUUGGUCAGGCUGGUCUUGAGCUCCUGACCUUAAGUGAUUUGCCCACCUCAGCCUCACAGAGUGCUGGGAUUACAGGUAUGAGUCACUGUGCCCAGCCUCAAAAUUUAUUUUAGACCUUCAACUCUUUGUAUAGUUUCAUGUGCAAGGGCACUAUAUCAAUACUGUUUGAGGAUGGUUAUUUUCCAAUUGCUAUUCCUCUUGAUAUGAAAGCUAUGAUGAGCAAGAAAUUCAGAGAUAUAAAAAGAAAUUGUUUUUUCAAAAGAUGAAUUUAUCAACUCACGAUAACAUACCAGGCAUAGUGAUGGGCUUUGCAGGGGGAAUGAUGACACAAAGAUGAGCAGGACACAACCCCUGUCGUGCACUCAUGUGGCCUGAUGGGAGGGACAGGCAUGAAUCAAUAGGUCUUAUACAAUAGGAUAAGAGCUACAGAGUCUGGGGACCCGGGGGUUCUGACGGCACAGGAAAGAGGGUGACUAACUUUAUCUUGAAAUCCUCAGGAACGCUCUGGAGAGGAUUAGUAAUUGAACUGGCUCUUGCAGGCUGAGUAGGUGUUUGCCAGUUGACAACAGAAUGUAGGGGGAGGAUGUCCAAGAAGAGGAGAGGAGGGCUUUACAAGUGCAGAAAGGCCAGGAAAUCACAGUCUUCCCAGAAUGUGUGGAAAGUGAGAGGCUUAGGGGCAUGGCCAGCCAUGGGCAGUGAAGCAGCUUAGCCCUAGGUUUUCAAGGCCUUUAAACACCACCCUUGGGAACCCAAACUUUGCCCUUGAGUUUGUUACUGUGGAGCCGUGUAACGUUCUGGAGGGUAG
rnacentral:lncRNA from 1 species